GAAAAUUAUCCUCCGAGCCGAACGAGACACAUCUCAUACCUCUUAACCAAGAGCCACAACUCUAAGUAAUAGAACCUCUAACGGAAUAUGAUCCAAACUAAUUGAUCAACGAACCA
rnacentral:rRNA from 1 species